rnacentral:rRNA from 1 species
GACCUCAAAUCGGGUGAGACUACCCGCUGAACUUAAGCAUAUCAAUAAGCGGAGGAAAAGAAACUAACAAGGAUUCCCCUAGUAACUGCGAGUGAAGCGGGAAAAGCUCAAAUUUAAAAUCUGGUGGUCUUUGGCCAUCCGAGUUGUAAUUUAGAGAAGCGUCUUCCGCGCUGGACCGUGCAUAAGUCUCCUGGAAUGGAGCGUCAUAGAGGGUGAGAAUCCCGUCUUUGGCACGGACCCCAGGGCUUCUGUGAUGCGCUCUCAAAGAGUCGAGUUGUUUGGGAAUGCAGCUCAAAAUGGGUGGUGAACUCCAUCUAAAGCUAAAUAUUGGCGAGAGACCGAUAGCGAACAAGUACCGUGAGGGAAAGAUGAAAAGCACUUUGGAAAGAGAGUGAAACAGUACGUGAAAUUGUUGAAAGGGAAACGCUUGAAGUCAGUCGCGUCGACCGAGACUCAGCCUCGCCUCGGCUUGGUGUACUUCUCGGCUGACGGGUCAGCAUCAAUUUCGAUCCUUGGAUAAUGGCAAGGGAAAGGUAGCACCUUUAUAGGUGUGUUAUAGUCCUCUGUCGGAUGCAAGGGUCGGGAUUGAGGAACUCAGCACGCACCUUUUAGGUGUCGGGGCCUCGGCCUACGUUAC